GCCUACGACCAUAUCACCCUGAAUGCGCCUGAUCUCGUCUGAUCUCAGAAGCUAAGCAGGUUCGAGCCUGGUGCGUACUUGGAUGGGAGACUGCCUGCGAAUACCAGGUGUUGUAGACU
rnacentral:rRNA from 1 species